rnacentral:rRNA from 1 species
AGAGUUUGAUCCUGGCUCAGGAUGAACGCUGGCGGCGUGCUUAACACAUGCAAGUCGAACGGAACUCUUUGGAUCGAGGCUUCGGCCAAGUGAAUCUGAGUUUAGUGGCGGACGGGUGAGUAACGCGUGAGGAACCUGCCUUUCAGAGGGGAAUAACAGUUGGAAACGACUGCUAAUACCGCAUAACGCAUAGAGGCCGCAUGACCUUUAUGCCAAAGAUUAUAUCGCUGAGAGAUGGCCUCGCGUCUGAUUAGCUGGUUGGCGGGGUAACGGCCCACCAAGGCGACGAUCAGUAGCCGGACUGAGAGGUUGGCCGGCCACAUUGGGACUGAGAUACGGCCCAGACUCCUACGGGAGGCAGCAGUGGGGAAUAUUGGGCAAUGGGCGCAAGCCUGACCCAGCAACGCCGCGUGAAGGAAGAAGGUCUUCGGAUUGUAAACUUCUUUUAACGGGGACGAUCGUGACGGUACCCGUUGAAUAAGCUCCGGCUAACUACGUGCCAGCAGCCGCGGUAAUACGUAGGGAGCUAGCGUUAUCCGGAUUUACUGGGUGUAAAGGGCGUGUAGGCGGGACUGCAAGUCAGAUGUGAAAACUCCGGGCUCAACUCGGAGCCUGCAUUUGAAACUGUAGUUCUUGAGUGAUGGAGAGGCAAGCGGAAUUCCUAGUGUAGCGGUGAAAUGCGUAGAUAUUAGGAGGAACACCAGUGGCGAAGGCGGCUUGCUGGACAUUAACUGACGCUGAGGCGCGAAAGCGUGGGGAGCAAACAGGAUUAGAUACCCUGGUAGUCCACGCCGUAACGA